GAUGGUCGCGGGGAUCGUUUCAGUCCACGAGGAAAGUCCGGACUCCACAGAGCGCCGUAGCAGCUAACGGCUGCCUGCCGCAAGGUACGGAUUAGAGCAACAGAGACGAGCCGACGUUAGGGUCGGGUGAAACGGGCAAUCUCUACGGGGAGCAACAUCAAAUAGGCAACCGAAGAUCCUGCUCGGGGAGGUUGCGGGUAGAUGGCUUGAGGCACGGUGCGAAUCGUGCUCUAGAUGAAUGACUGUCGGCCGUGGCAACACGGAACAUAAUCCGGCUUAUCGGCGAACUUG
rnacentral:RNase_P_RNA from 1 species